GGGUGUAGCGCAGUUGGUAGCGCAUCUGGUUUGGGACCAGGGGGUCGCAGGUUCGAAUCCUGUCACC
rnacentral:tRNA from 1 species